rnacentral:misc_RNA from 1 species
GUAUGACCCUGUGAAGGAUGUUUGGAUUGAAUUACCUGAUCUGCCUCAAACCUAUGAUUCAGGGAUCUGUAUGGGAGUAGUAGUUGGAAGAAAAAUGCAUUUUAUAUACAAGGGACUGCCCAUUGUUCAAACAUUUGACACUCUGGAGUGGAGGUGGAUAGUUGAGGAUUACAGUUGGUUUUCCCACAUCUGGUUGAUGGCUGCUGAUGGCGACGUAAUCUACAUUAUGAGCCAAGGAUAUAUCUUCAUGCAGGUUGGACAAAACAGCAAAGUUGUUAUUUCAGCAGAUCAGUUUAAUCUCAAUGAUGGGAUGGGGAUGAUUUGUUUUAGAGGCGAACUGUAUGUGAUUGGAGGAACACUUUACACCGACCGGGAUUAUGAAUAUCUGUCUGACGUGCACAUUCUUACAUUGCGCAGCAACGUGAGGACAACCUGGAUUAAUGCUGCUCCAAUGAGUCGAGGAUAUGGAACUGUUCUUGGUUGUGCAGGGUUGAG